GCUGCAUGGCUGUCGUCAGCUCGUGUCGUGAGAUGUUGGGUUAAGUCCCGCAACGAGCGCAACCCUUGCCUUUAGUUGCCAGCAGUUCGGCUGGGCACUCUAAAGGGACUGCCGGUGUUAAACCGGAGGAAGGUGGGGGAUGACGUCAAGUCCUCAUGGCCUUUAUGACCAGGGCUACACACGUACUACAAUGGACCGAUACGAAAGGGCAGCGACACUGCGAGGUGAAGCCAAUCCCGUAAAAUCGGUCUCAGUCCGGAUUGGAGUCUGCAACUCGACUCCAUGAAGUUGGAAUCGCUAGUAAUCGUGGAUCAGCAUGCCACGGUGAAUACGUUCCCGGGCCUU
rnacentral:rRNA from 1 species